CCCCUCUCAGGGUCACACCUGGAGAGUUUCCAGUACUCUACCAGUCUCAGCUAAGAGAGGGAGAGGCAUACCAAGCAGAGGCAUACCCAUUCCAUUUCUUAGCUUGGGCAGUGGCUAGCAAAUGGAAGGCCAUCUGCUGCAAGU